ACGGGAAUUAGCGGGAAAAUCCUUUUGUAUGAAAAAUCUAAACCACUCAAGUUAGACGUUUGAAAUUUGGCAUGCAGGUACCUUAGGUACCGUAGUGGUGCACUAAGAAAGGAAUUCCCAAAAUUCUCACGGGAACGGGAAUUAGCGGGAAAAUCCUUUUGUAUGAAAAAUCUAAACCACUC